rnacentral:misc_RNA from 1 species
GUGAAUCAUCAAAUCUUUGAACGCAAAUUGCACUUUCUGGUAUUCCGGAAAGUAUGCCUGUUUGAGGGUCAGUUAAAUAAAAAUCGGUGUUGUUGCUGCUUUUCGUGGUGACGCGUCGGAAUUGAGUUGUCUUACCUUCGGUUAAGUGACUUAAAAUUUUGCAUGAUUUUCGAACGUAUUUAAAUCGCUUACGUACGUUUGAGAUAUCGAAUGCUUAUUAGGUUCGGUCAUUCCCAUGAUUCGCGCCUAUAAUUUUUCAUUAAUUGACCUCAAAUAAGUAAGAAAAAC